rnacentral:tRNA from 1 species
GGAGGGAUUCCCGAGUGGCUAAAGGGAGCAGACUGUAAAUCUGCCGGCUCUGCCUUCGAAGGUUCGAAUCCUUCUCCCUCCACCA